UUUCCGUAGGUGAACCUGCGGAAGGAUCAUUCAUAAUAAGUGUUUUAUGGCACUUUUUUAAAUCCAUAUCCACCUUGUGUGCAAUGUCAGGGUUGAUUUUUCUCUCGAGAGGAUCAACCCCAAACAUCAACUAUAUCUCAACUCUUUGUCUGAAAAAUAUUAUGAAUAAAACAAUUCAAAAUACAACUUUCGACAACGGAUCUCUUGGCUCUC
rnacentral:misc_RNA from 1 species